GCGGCGAGUGGCGAACGGGUGAGUAAUAUAUCGGAACAUACCCUAGAGUGGGGGAUAACGUAGCGAAAGUUACGCUAAUACCGCAUACGCACUAAGGUGGAAAGUGGGGGAUCGCAAGACCUCAUGCUCAUGGAGUGGCCGAUAUCUGAUUAGCUAGUUGGUGAGGUAAAGGCUCACCAAGGCGACGAUCAGUAGCUGGCCUGAGAGGACGACCAGCCACACUGGAACUGAGACACGGUCCAGACUCCUACGGGAGGCAGCAGUGGGGAAUUUUGGACAAUGGGGGCAACCCUGAUCCAGCAAUGCCGCGUGAGUGAAGAAGGCCUUCGGGUUGUAAAGCUCUUUUGUCAGGGAAGAAACGGUGAUCUCUAAUAUAGAUUGCUAAUGACGGUACCUGAAGAAUAAGCACCGGCUAACUACGUGCCAGCAGCCGCGGUAAUACGUAGGGUGCAAGCGUUAAUCGGAAUUACUGGGCGUAAAGCGUGCGCAGGCGGUUAUAUAAGUCAGAUGUGAAAUCCCCGGGCUCAACCUGGGAACUGCAUUUGAGACUGUAUGGCUAGAGUGUGUCAGAGGGGGGUAGAAUUCCACGUGUAGCAGUGAAAUGCGUAGAUAUGUGGAGGAAUACCGAUGGCGAAGGCAGCCCCCUGGGAUAACACUGACGCUCAUGCACGAAAGCGUGGGGAGCAAACAGGAUUAGAUACCCUGGUAGUCCACGCCCUAAACGAUGUCUACUAGUUGUCGGGUCUUAAUUGACUUGGUAACGCAGCUAACGCGUGAAGUAGACCGCCUGGGGAGUACGGUCGCAAGAUUAAAACUCAAAGGAAUUGACGGGGACCCGCACAAGCGGUGGAUGAUGUGGAUUAAUUCGAUGCAACGCGAAAAACCUUACCUACCC
rnacentral:rRNA from 1 species